GAUGAACGCUGGCGGCGUGCCUAAUACAUGCAAGUCGAACGCUGAAGGAGGAGCUUGCUCUUCUGGAUGAGUUGCGAACGGGUGAGUAACGCGUAGGUAACCUGCCUGGUAGCGGGGGAGAACUAUUGGAAACGAUAGCUAAUACCGCAUAACAACAGUUAUUGCAUGAUAACUGUUUAAAAGGGUCACCUGCUCCACUACCAGAUGGACCUGCGGUGUAUUAGCUAGUUGGUGAGGUAAAGGCUCACCAAGGCGACGAUACAUAGCCGACCUGCGAGGGGGGUCGGCCACACUGGGAAUGGAGCACGGCCCAGGACCCUUCGGGAGGGAGCCGGCGGGGAUCUUCGGCAAUGGACGGAAUUCUGACUGAGGGACUCCGGGGGAGUGGAGGAGGGCUUCGGGUCGUAAAGGUCUGUUGUGACGGAAGAACGAGUGUGAGACUGAAACGUUCAGACUGUGACGGUACCGGACGAGUAAGCGCCGGCUAACUACGUG
rnacentral:rRNA from 1 species